CAUCUUCCAUCUGAGGACUUCAGUGUCAAAACACCCCUGACAUUGCAUCUCUGAAUUUUUCCACAAUUUGUUUCAUCCUGUAGGCAAUUAAAAAGGAAACCUCUUCAGCUCUUUGAGAGUUACUGGGAUUGGGAGGAAAUUACUGAUUUUCUAUUAGAAAAAUGAGUACCCCUCAAAAGAGGAGUCAGAGAGAGGGACCUCAUUUGGAUGAAACUUGCAAACAGGCAUGCCAAAAGAAACCUUCCCCAGGAAGACCCAGGUCAAAGACAGUGGCUUGAUUCUUUGUGGACAUUAAGAUAUAGCAGUGUCAGGCCUUUUUCACACCUGAAGGAAUGUGCACUGACUACGAAGGUAAUAAAGCAUGUAGAUUAUAAAAAGAUAAAUCAAGCUUGAUAAAUUUACAAAGACUUAGAAAAUAAUGCCAAAGCC